rnacentral:rRNA from 1 species
GUCGUAAGCACACCUCUAAAAGCACAAGUAUGCAAUUAUGACAAACUCAUAUACGUCAGGUCAAAGUGCAGCUUAUGGGAGGGCGACGAUGGGUUACACCCUACAUAAAGACACGAAAUGUGGCACCAAAAGCUACAUGAAGGUGGACUUGGGCGUAAUAAAGAUACAAAAUCAAAAUGAAACUGAAUCUGAGACAUGCACACAUCGCCCGUCACUCUUGCCCAAAGGUGAGAUAAGUCGUAACAAAGUAGGUGUAACGGAAGUUGCACCUGU